rnacentral:rRNA from 1 species
AUGAAGGAAGCCUUUGAUCCGCCCUCCCCGGUGGCAGCAGCAACGCCGGAAGCAGAUAAUGGCGCCUCCAUCUUCAUGAGUAAAAACAUUUGGAGUGAUGCGGCUGCCGAGGGAGACGACGACAAUUCCUCGCCUUGGCCAUGGGACGGUGUGAAAAGUGAAGGGGAUGCUGAUUUUCUUUCUCAUGCAAACAGGGCUUUGUUGUUUCUGAGCAAGGAGCAGCAGCAAUUUCAGAUUCUUUGA